rnacentral:rRNA from 1 species
GACGAACGCUGGCGGCGUGCCUAAUACAUGCAAGUCGAACGAACCGCGACUAAGUGCUUGCACUAAGUCAAGGUGAGUGGCGAACGGGUGAGUAACACGUGGGUAACCUACCUCAUAGUGGGGGAUAACAGUCGGAAACGACUGCUAAUACCGCAUAGGACAUAGGAUCACAUGAUCCAGUGAGGAAAGGUGGCGCAAGCUAUCGCUAAGAGAUGGACCCGCGGUGCAUUAGCUAGUUGGUAGGGUAAAGGCCUACCAAGGCGAUGAUGCAUAGCCGACCUGAGAGGGUGAUCAGCCACAUUGGGACUGAGACACGGCCCAAACUCCUACGGGAGGCAGCAGUAGGGAAUCUUCCGCAAUGGACGCAAGUCUGACGGAGCAACGCCGCGUGAGUGAAGAAGGUCUUCGGAUCGUAAAGCUCUGUUGUUAGAGAAGAACAGCGCAUAGAGUAACUGCUAUGCGUGUGACGGUAUCUAACCAGAAAGCCACGGCUAACUACGUG